CCUCAGCAUACUUCCCAGGGGAGGCACCUACAGCGCCCCCGGAGAUGGUGGUAAGGCUGGUAGAGCACUGCAGACGGCGCAGGCUCCCCCUCCAUCAUAGGCUGUGACGCCAACGCUCAMCACGUGGAAUGGGGAAGCACCGAUUGCAACACAAGAGAUUGAAUUUGGUCAUCAUAUGCAAAACUCACCGAAGAUGGCAGUGUGAGAAGUAAAUAUCGAUACGGAAUUUAGCCCCACAAUGAUGAAAUCACGCCACGUAAACAACACAACAAAUACUGGGCUACAACCGGAAAUCCACGGCACUUCUAGCAACACCCGUCAUCCAAAGAAAAAUGUUGCGAAUGAGCGAGUAAGCAGCACACGGCUUGGGUGAAAGUUCGAUUCUCCGGCUAGGCUUAGUGCCCUGACUUGUGAAUGCCGUCUGUUAAGGAAUAGUUCAUCUUCUGACCGAUUCAACUAUGUCGUCGUAGCACACACGACCGCCAACGCACGUCAGCAUCGCCAUUUUAUAUAAUUAAAGCAGGAGAAAUUGUAAAUAUGUAUAAGAAAACAUAAAAUAAAGUACGAUUUGUGAAGA